rnacentral:rRNA from 1 species
UACGGAGGAUGCAAGCGUUAUCCGGAUUUAUUGGGUUUAAAGGGUGCGCAGGUUGUUUGAUAAGUCAGUGGUGAAAGUCUGUCGCUUAACGGUAGGAUUGCCAUUGAUACUGUUGAACUUGAAUAUGGAUGAGGUAGGCAGAAUGUGUAGUGUAGCGGUGAAAUGCAUAGAUAUUACACAGAACACCGAUUGCGAAGGCAGCUUACUAAUCCAUCAUUGACGCUGGGGCACGAAAGCGUGGGUAUCAAACA